rnacentral:rRNA from 1 species
GGUGUAAUGAGCCGAAUGAAUAAGGGGAGGGCAAGUCUGGUGUCAGCCGCCGCGGUAAUACCAGCUCCUCGAGUUGUUGGGWCGAUUAUUGGGUCUAAAGCGUCCGUAGCCGGCCGGAAAAGUUCACCGUUAAAUCCGACGAUUCAAUUGUCGGGCUGCGGAGAAUACUCUUCGGCUUGGGGGCGGGGGAGGUCGGCGGUAUUCCCGGGGUAGGGGCGAAAUCUUAUAAUCCCGGGAGGACCACCAGUGGCGAAGGCGGCCGACUAAAACGCGCCCGACGGUGAGGGACGAAAGCUGGGGGAGCGAACGGGAUUAGAUACCCCGGUAGUCCCAGCUGUAAACAAUGCAGGCUAGGUGUCGGGAUGGMUACGGGCCAGCUCGGUGCCGCAGGGAAGCCAUUAAGCCUGCCACCUGGGAAGUACGGUCGCAAGGCUGAAAUCCGGAGAGGCCUACGGUAGUAAAUGUUACUUGAGAUCAAUUUAAGAUAAUUCGG